rnacentral:rRNA from 1 species
UACAGAGGGGGCAAGCGUUGUUCGGAAUUACUGGGCGUAAAGGGCGCGCAGGCGGCUGCUCAAGUCAGGCGUGAAAGGCCUGGGCUCAACCCGGGAAUUGCGCUUGAGACUGGGCUGGCUUGAGUGCGGGAGAGGAUGGUGGAAUUCCCAGUGUAGAGGUGAAAUUCGUAGAUAUUCGCAAGAACACCAGUGGCGAAGGCGGCUCACUGGCCCGAUACGUGACGCUGAGGUGCGAAAGCG